rnacentral:lncRNA from 1 species
AAGAUCUUACUGUUUGACUAUAUACUCUGAUGCUAAUAAGUGUUAUGUCCAGUAAAGUUAAGUGCAAGAGUGUGUCAACAAUUAAAAAAAAAGUAUUAUUGUCUUUAGGUUUGGGUGAUGGUCCAAUGAAGUUAAGUACAUCCAGAUGGCUGAGAUGGCCAUUAUAGGAAGUCAUAAAGAUGAGACAGCCUUACAGCAGAACCGAAUUCCGUGUCCCUACACCUGUUAUUUCGUUUUAUUAGUUUUUAAUUUUAUUUUUUAUCUUGUUUUAUAUUUUCGCAACAUUCAGUUUGGCCGCCCAUGUGCGAUGCACGCCUUGCACCUAUGGCAGGCCCGGCCCUGUAUGUAAUUUAUGUACAGAUGAGUAUUAACCUGGCAGUAAUAACAUGAAACCCAAUCAAAACUGAUAAAAUACAAAUUAGCAUGCAGACUAGCUAUUAAUCAUGUGAAAUUUUCACUGUCUUGUUAAAUAUAUCUUCUGAAUAUAUGAAACCUUAUUUUUGGC